GACGAACGCUGGCGGCGUGCUUAACACAUGCAAGUCGAACGGAAAGGCCCUGCUUUUGUGGGGUGCUCGAGUGGCGAACGGGUGAGUAACACGUGAGUAACCUGCCCUUGACUUUGGGAUAACUUCAGGAAACUGGGGCUAAUACCGGAUAGGAGCUCCUGCUGCAUGGUGGGGGUUGGAAAGUUUCGGCGGUUGGGGAUGGACUCGCGGCUUAUCAGCUUGUUGGUGGGGUAGUGGCUUACCAAGGCUUUGACGGGUAGCCGGCCUGAGAGGGUGACCGGCCACAUUGGGACUGAGAUACGGCCCAGACUCCAACGGGAGGCAACAGUGGGGAAUAUUGCACAAUGGGCGGGAGCCUGAUGCGACAACGCCGCGUGCGGGAAGACGGCCUUCGGGUUGUAAACCGCUUUCGCCUGUGACGGAGCGUGAAUGACGGUAAUGGGUAAAGAAGCACCGGCUAACUACGUG
rnacentral:rRNA from 1 species